rnacentral:rRNA from 1 species
UCCUACGGGAGGCAGCAGUGAGGAAUAUUGGUCAAUGGGCGAGAGCCUGAACCAGCCAAGUCGCGUGAGGGAAGACGGCCCUACGGGUUGUAAACCUCUUUUGUCAGGGAGCAAGAACGGAUACGUGUAUCCGAGCGAGAGUACCUGAAGAAAAAGCAUCGGCUAACUCCGUGCCAGCAGCCGCGGUAAUACGGAGGAUGCGAGCGUUAUCCGGAUUUAUUGGGUUUAAAGGGUGCGUAGGCGGGCUGCCAAGUCAGCGGUAAAAUUGCGGGGCUCAACCCCGUCGAGCCGUUGAAACUGGCGGG